GUGUGCUUUGUUUCUCAGUUCUUCUUAUGGCUUCUCCAGCUCCCAACAGUAUGCCUGGGAGCCCCGAUACCUCGUGUACUAACCUGUACGAGGAUGCUCGCAUGGCCGCUCUGAGCAAACGCCUGGGUCAUCUUUGGUCUGAACAGCAUAUCGAAGUUUGGGAGGAUGCGCCUUCGCCUGAAGCUUUGGCUGAGUGUCGGCUCAUACUUAUGGGUAAGCUC
rnacentral:lncRNA from 1 species